UUUUCUCUUUCUCUGUGAAUUUCUUGAGAGCACAGACUACAUUCUGCUUAACUUUUUAUCCCCAGCUUUCAGCACAGUGCCUGGCUGCUUUGGCGUCUCCAAGUACCUGACCUCAGCUCAACCUGUCUUGGGUUUUCUUCUCCUCCCUGACAUUGACAACCCAGCCCUCCUAGGCACAGAGAGAUGGAGCUGAGUGUGGUUUUCCUGAAAUAAAGCUUGCAUUAUGAGAGGGAAUAAACAGAAGAAAAAAAUAUUUCCAGAGAAUAUAAAGCAGGCAGAAAAACGUGAAAAGGAGAGACUGGCCUAGCUUCUCAGCCCACGUCUUUCUCCCGUGCUGAUGCUUCCUGCCCUCGAACAUCAGACUCCAAGUUCUUCAGUUUUGGGACUCAGACUGUCUCUCGUUGCUCCUCAGCUUGCAGACAGCCUAUUGUGGGACCUUGUGAUCAUAGAUGGGAUCUCACUGUAUCACUCAUGCUGGAGUGCAGUGGCACAAUCAUAGCUCACUGCAGCCUUCAAACUCCUGGGCUCCAGCAAUCUUCACGCCUCAGCCUCCCGGGUAGCUAGGGCUACAGGCACGUGUCACCAUACUUGGCUAAAUUUUUGGCAGUUUUAAUGGUUUUAUUUAAGCAUAAAUAAAAUAUGCACAUGA
ensembl:lncRNA novel transcript, antisense to C7orf33 and CNTNAP2